UGAGGUGCGCAAUGCAUUGUGGGGCAGAAGCAGUACGUGAAGCAAGCACCGUUCCACACUCAAAAUUCGAAGCCGAUUGAGUAUACAUCCGGGCAUUUCUAGCAUACACAGAAUUCGCAUACUGUACAGUGUGAAUGCACUGCCUACUCAAUUCAGAGGCAAGGUUAGUAUGAGUAGUAUGAGUAGUAUGCCAUUUCGGAGCAUACUACGGUGCAUUUGAAGCGUGCAUGACGUCAUGACGGCGCGAACGGUGUCCCAUUUGGCACGAGAUGCUAAGAAAUGCUAAGCGCGCUUGGCAUUUUUUCAAGCGUGCAUUUAUGCACGCUUUCAUGCCGUCUGUAUCCCAGAAUGCUUUGCGUGCCGCUGCACAGCUGCGCAUUUCAGGUGAGAGGCUGGACUCGCUUGUAGACACAGCGCGUCUUUAAAAAAAUGCAAGAAAUCCAGUCAUUAAUUUAUGAGAAUGAAGUCGUAACCUGUUAUUUCAGAGGAGACUUGUUAAAAUUAGGGCCAUGAAGCAUUUGAAGGAACUGUGCUUCAGUAUAGGUUUCACAAACAAAGAGAUACUUCAUCCUCUGGCACAUCAGCAUCACAUUGUCAUAAGUAUAAAGACAUAAAAAAGAAUAUAUGAGAAAUAUGUCUUUUCCGCAGGGAAAAAACUGGUGUACUUGAAGGAAAUCGCUGCUUUUGUGGAGGCAGAAAUGAAUAUGCUGAGGAUAUAUCCGUUUAUGCAGCCAUAAAUAUCUGUGAAUGACAUUGAGCUUUAGUUUAUCAUAUGAAUCCAUGUGCCAUAAUAAGGUGUUGGUGUCUCUGCAGGUGUAGGUUACCGCCGGUGUCAGAGACGUGGUGCUCGUCGGAGCUCAACUACCUCUGGAUCACAAAUGUUGAUCAUCAUCAGUUUGAUUGUUUCUUCAGAAACCACAAAAUCUCUCUGAAUGACCCGCUGAUAUAUCCACAGAUAACCCUGCAGAUGACCAGCUUCAGUCGUUUCCCCCUCCACAAAAGCAGUUUUAUGACUUUAUAAACUUUAUGAGUUUAUUCUCCUAAAUUUACAACUUUAAUCUCUAAAUCUUAAAAGAAAAAAAAACUCAAUGAUGUCCUGAUCCUUUGCUGUAGUUUUGUCAGCUCUCUUAUUUCUAAUGUUUUUGAUAGUUGAAGCUGAGCGGAUCAGUUGUCUCUAAAUCUAUAAUGUUUGGUUUGCAGAUUUUAGUGAGUUCAGAGAUCAUGCGCUCAUACAGCCUGAGCUGACUGUCUGCUGUCUUUUGGAUUUCUUGCAUUUUUUUAAAGACGCACUGUGUCUCCAAGCGAGUCCAGCCUCUCACCUGAAAUGCGCAGCUGUGCAGCGGCACGCAAAGCAUUCUGGGAUACAGACGGCACGAAAGCGUGCAUAAAUGCACGCUUGAAAAAGGGGCAGGGGCAGUGUGGUUUAGCAUUUUGUGCCAAACGGGACACCGUCUGUGCCACGUGAUGACCUCACGCACGCUUCAAAUGCGCCGUUUGACGGUUGCGGCCUCUAAAAUGAGACAUAGGAAGGGUACCUAACGGCGCAUAAUGGCACAUAACAGCACAAAACGGCAGUGCGCUCAGCUAAGUGCGCUUAUCCCGAUGCGGUCUCUGAAAUGAGCCACAGCCACAGGCUGUGGCUGUGUCCGAAAAUGGCAUACUACUCCUACUACUCAUACUAACCCCGCC